rnacentral:rRNA from 1 species
AGAGUUUAGAUCUGGCUCAGGAUUAACGCUGGCGGCGUGCAUAACACAUUCAAGUCGAACGGAGAGAGGCAGCUUCGGUUGCGUCAAUCAGUGGCGGACGGGUGAGUAACGCGUGAGUAACCUGCCUGUAAGAGGGGGAUAACACCUGGAAACGGGUGCUAAUACCGCAUAAAUCAUAGUUGUCGCAUGGCAGCGAUGUAAAAGAGGAAUUGCUUACAGAUGGACUCGCGUCUGAUUAGA